UUUAUGAAUACAGCUGGUCAACUCUGGAUGAAAAGCCACGAUAAAGGGCAGGCCCCUCCCUCAGGCUUAUUAGCAGUGGCUUGAUAUCAAUGGCUUUCUUUGUGGAAGAGCCACCAAAUUGUGCCUUAGCUUGCCAUGCUCCUGCCACCUGUGCCUGCACAAGGUGUCCACAUGAACAGCUGAGAAUGCAGCUGAAUCCACGAGGGAGAAGUGCCUGUUGCAGAUGAGAGAAACAAUCAGGGGAGGUGUCUGCCGGAGGGGCGGGCUGGGGUGGAAGGAGUGGGGGCUGGGAUCCCAGAAGGCGGUUAGAAUUAAUAGAAAGGCUAUGUAAGGUUUUUUUUACUUCUUGUUGGGAUUUUUGGGCCCCCGGGGGUUUGGGGGCUUGAUUUUUUUUUGAUUUUGGGGGGUUUUUUUUUUUCCCUUUUUCGGGCACCUUCAUUCUUCCAAGGCAAUUUUUCUUAUUGAGUUUUAUUUGAACCGGCCCCUUAGGCCGGGGGA
rnacentral:misc_RNA from 1 species